rnacentral:rRNA from 1 species
UACGUAGGGUGCGAGCGUUAAUCGGAAUUACUGGGCGUAAAGCGUGCGCAGGCGGUUUCGUAAGACAGAGGUGAAAUCCCCGGGCUCAACCUGGGAACUGCCUUUGUGACUGCGAGGCUAGAGUAUGGCAGAGGGGGGGUGGAAUUCCACGUGUAGCAGUGAAAUGCGUAGAGAUGUGGAGGAACACCGAUGGCGAAGGCAGCCCCCUGGGCCAAUACUGACGCUCAUGCACGAAAGCGUGGGGAGCAAACAGG